UCCAGACUCCUACGGGAGGCAGCAGUGGGGAAUAUUGCACAAUGGGGGGAACCCUGAUGCAGCGACGCCGCGUGGGUGAAGAAGCGCCUCGGCGCGUAAAGUCCUGUCAGCAGGGAAGAAAAUGACGGUACCUGAAGAAGAAGCCCCGGCUAACUACGUGCCAGCAGCCGCGGUAGUACGUAGGGGGCAAGCGUUAUCCGGAUUCACUGGGCGUAAAGGGAGCGCAGGCGGCACGGCAAGUCUGAUGUGAAAGCCCGGGGCUCAACCCCGGGACUGCAUUGGAAACUGCCGGGCUGGAGUGUCGGAGGGGUAAGCGGAAUUCCUAGUGUAGCGGUGAAAUGCGUAGAUAUUAGGAGGAACACCAGUGGCGAAGGCGGCUUACUGGACGAUCACUGACGCUGAGGCUCGAAAGCGUGGGGAGCAAACAGGAUUAGAUACCCUAGUA
rnacentral:rRNA from 1 species